rnacentral:rRNA from 1 species
UCCGUAGACGGUUUAUUAAGUCUGGUGUGAAAUAUGAUGGCUCAACCAUCAAAACGCAUUGGAUACUGGUGAACUAGAGUAUGUUAGAGGAUAGUGGAAUUCCAUGUGUAGCGGUGAAAUGCGUAGAUAUAUGGAGGAACACCAGUGGCGAAGGCGGCUAUCUGGGACAUUACUGACGUUGAGGGACGAAAGCGUGGGGAGCGAACA